rnacentral:tRNA from 1 species
GCAGGGUUAGCUCAGUUGGUUAGAGCAUGGUGCUAAUAACACCAAGUUCACAGGUUCAAUCCCUGCUUACUGCA